UACAGAGGUCUCAAGCGUUGUUCGGAUUCAUUGGGCGUAAAGGGUGCGUAGGUGGCGCCGUAAGUCAGGUGUGAAAUUUCGGAGCUUAACUCCGAAACUGCAUUUGAUACUGCGGUGCUUGAGGACUGGAGAGGAGACUGGAAUUCACGGUGUAGCAGUGAAAUGCGUAGAUAUCAGGAGGAACACCGGUGGCGAAGGCGGAUCUCUGGGCCAUUACUGACGCUGAGGAGCGAAAGCGUGGGGAGCGAACAGG
rnacentral:rRNA from 1 species